AUUGAACGCUGGCGGCAGGCUUAACACAUGCAAGUCGAGCGGGGUGAUGGUGCUUGCACUAUCACUUAGCGGCGGACGGGUGAGUAAUGCUUAGGAAUCUGCCUAUUAGUGGGGGACAACAUCUCGAAAGGGAUGCUAAUACCGCAUACGUCCUACGGGAGAAAGCAGGGGAUCACUUGUGACCUUGCGCUAAUAGAUGAGCCGAAGUCGGAUUAGCUAGUUGGUGGGGUAAAGGCCUACCAAGGCGACGAUCUGUAGCGGGUCUGAGAGGAUGAUCCGCCACACUGGGACUGGGACACGGCCCAGACUCCUACGGGGGGCAGCAGUGGGGAAUAUUGGACAGUGGGGGGAACCCUGAUCCAGCCAUGCCGCGUGUGUGAAGAAGGCCUUAUGGUUGUAAAGCACUUUAAGCGAGGAGGAGGCUCUUUUGGUUAAUACCCAAGAUGAGUGGACGUUACUCGCAGAAUAAGCACCGGCUAACUCUGUGCCAGCCGCCGCCGUAA
rnacentral:rRNA from 1 species